GACGAACGCUGGCGGCGUGCUUAACACAUGCAAGUCGAACGGAAAGGCCCUGCUUUUGUGGGGUGCUCGAGUGGCGAACGGGUGAGUAACACGUGAGUAACCUGCCCUUGACUUUGGGAUAACUUCAGGAAACUGGGGCUAAUACCGGAUAGGAGCUCCUGCUGCAUGGUGGGGGUUGGAAAGUUUCGGCGGUUGGGGAUGGACUCGCGGCGUAUCAGCUUGUUGGUGGGGUAGUGGCUUACCAAGGCUUUGACGGGUAGCCGGCCUGAGAGGGUGACCGGCCACAUUGGGACUGAGAUACAGCCCAGACUCCUACGGGAGGCAGCAGUGGGGAAUAUUGCACAAUGGGCGGAAGCCUGAUGCAGCAACGCCGCGUGCGGGAUGACGGCCUUCGGGUUGUAAACCGCUUUCGCCUGUGACGAAGCGUGAGUGACGGUAAUGGGUAAAGAAGCACCGGCUAACUACGUG
rnacentral:rRNA from 1 species